UACGUAGGGGGCUAGCGUUGUCCGGAAUCAUUGGGCGUAAAGAGCUCGUAGGCGGUCUGUUGCGUCCGCUGUGAAAACUCGGGGCUUAACCCCGAGCCUGCAGUGGAUACGGGCAGACUAGAGGUAGGUAGGGGAGAAUGGAAUUCCCGGUGUAGCGGUGAAAUGCGCGGAUAUCGGGAGGAACACCGGUGGCGAAGGCGGUUCUCUGGGCCUUACCUGACGCUGAGGAGCGAAAGCGUGGGGAGCGAACAGG
rnacentral:rRNA from 1 species